rnacentral:rRNA from 1 species
UACAGAGACUGCAAGCGUUAUUCGGAUUCACUGGGCGUAAAGGGUGCGCAGGCGGCCGUGUGUGUCAGGUGUGAAAGCCCGGAGCUUAACUCAAGAAGUGCCUCAGAAACGGUGAGACUAGAGUUCUGGAGAGGGUCGUGGAAUUCCCGGUGUAGCGGUGAAAUGCGUAGAGAUCGGGAGGAACACCAGAGGCGAAGGCGGCGACCUGGACAGAUACUGACACUCAACUACGAAAGCGUGGGGAGCAAACAGG